rnacentral:rRNA from 1 species
AACGAACGCUGGCGGCGUGGCUAAGACAUGCAAGUCGAACGGUACGUUGUAGCAAUAUGGCGUAUAGUGGCGAACGGGUGAGUAAUGAAUAGGUAACGUCGCCCCGGGCACAGGAAUACCGCCGGGAACUUCGGUUCCCUUUGCGAAAGUGGCGUUAAUACCUGAUGACAUCACCGGACGGCAUUCUUUUGGUGAUCAAAGGGGUGGGGACCUUCGGGCCUAUUGGCCGUGGGAGCGGCCUAUUUCCUAUCAGCUAGUUGGUGAGGUAACGGCUCACCAA